GACGAACCAUCCAAACGUUAUUCGGAAUCACUGGGCUUAAAGGGUGCGUAGGCGGCCCGGUAAGUUGGGUGUGAAAUACCUCAGCCUAACUGAGGAAUUGCGCCCAAAACUGUCGGGCUCGAGGAAGAUAUAGGUGAGCGGAACUUAGGGUGGAGCGGUGAAAUGCGUUGAUAUCCUAAGGAACACCAGAAGCGAAAGCGGCUCACUGGGUCUUAUCUGACGCUGAGGCACGAAAGCUAGGGGAGCGAACGGG
rnacentral:rRNA from 1 species